GGAUUAUAGCUCAGUUGGUAGAGUGAUUGCCUAGCAUGCACAAGGUCCUAGGUUCAAGCCCGGGAGUAUAUAAACCA
rnacentral:tRNA from 1 species